CAAAAGCAUCGUCCUAUCGGCGAGCGCACAUAGCGCAUCUGCGUGACGAACCUUCGCUGAGGCGACAGCCAAGAAAGCCAUCCGGGAGUCCCUUGAGACAUAUGCAUGCGGCUUUGCUCCUAUCGCUCAAUUCAGUAGCGGCCCUUCGAAGUACGCAAACGAAGAAAGAUACUUGCUGUGCCUUGCAGGUGGAAACUGCAAGAAAUUGGGAAAGCAGACGAUGUUUUUGGCAUUCGUUCUACUUCUUGUAUCCCAGCGUUCGUUAACGAAAAUUCCGUCACUACGCUUUGAACAUGGUCGCUGUAUUUACGACAAUUACUCACUGAGCGAAGGAGGCUACUUGCGCCUUGCGAGUCCUUGUGUGAGGUUGAUUUGUCGGAACUACCACAGGGAACUAAGAGUCAAUGGAUGUCCUCCACCUCCGAACUCAAGCGAUCCAGAUGAUCCUAAAUAUGCAAUGUACUGGCCUUAUUGCUGCAAUAGCAGCGCCGCGUAACUCGCAAUAACUUGAGCCAUCUGCGUGAAAUACGCAUAAAUUUUUAUAACCCA
rnacentral:lncRNA from 1 species